rnacentral:rRNA from 1 species
UACGUAGGGCGCAAGCGUUGUCCGGAAUUAUUGGGCGUAAGGAGCUCGUAGGUGGCUUGUUGCGUCUGCCGUGAAAGCCCGUGGCUUAACUACGGGUCUGCGGUGGAUACGGGCAGGCUAGAGGCUGGUAGGGGCAAGCGGAAUUCCUGGUGUAGCGGUGAAAUGCGCAGAUAUCAGGAGGAACACCGGUGGCGAAGGCGGCUUGCUGGGCCAGUUCUGACGCUGAGGUGCGAAAGCGUGGGGAGCAAACAGG